rnacentral:lncRNA from 1 species
AAUUAUUUGACUAGCCGAGUAAAAGAACUCGUAUUCAAACAAUUGAGGAGAGAAAUUGAAGACUCAAAGUCAUCACCCAUUUCAUUUCUUAUUAUGAAAAUAAUCCGUUUUGAUUGUGUUUAUGUUUAAGCGGAUAGAAAUGACGACUAUUUGACUAACCGAGUAAGAGAACUCAUAUUCAAAUAAUCGAGGAGAGGAAUUGAAAACUCAAAGCCAUCUCCCUUUUCAUUUUCAAAUGAAAUGGUAUUUGAUUGUGAUUGAGUAUUUU